UACGAAGGGUGCAAGCGUUACUCGGAAUUACUGGGCGUAAAGCGUGCGUAGGUGGUGAGUUAAGUCUGUCGUGAAAGCCCCGGGCUCAACCUGGGAAUGGCGAUGGAUACUGGCUCGCUAGAGUGCGGUAGAGGAGAGUGGAAUUCCCGGUGUAGCAGUGAAAUUCGUAGAUAUCGGGAGGAACACCAGUGGCGAAGGCGGCGAUCUGGGAAGAUACUGACGCUGAGGUGCGAAAGCGUGGGGAGCAAACAGG
rnacentral:rRNA from 1 species